UGCCAGCCUUGCUGCCUGCCGUGGGGCACUGGCAGGAGAAGCAGGCAGCUCCAUCCUAAAGAACAUCACCUAUUUUUGCUCAGGGACUGCAGCUGUGGAUCUACAGGAACCCAGGACCUGCAGGGAGCUCACAAUGGGCCUGUCCCCACCCCGACACCCUGAGCUACUCCAUCAGGGAAAGCACAUUGACAGACCUGCCCGCAAACCUGCUGCCAGCACUGCUGUUCCCAAACGGAGAUGGAAAUGGAAGGAGGGAAGGAUCACUUCAGCUGUCAGCAGGCAGCGGCCGAGCAGGCUGAUAAACGUGCAGCAGGCAGCUCGGCGGCCCCCGGCACCCAGCAGCUCCGAGCUGGGCAGUGUCUGCGCCGGAUCCCGCACUGAGCGUGGAAGACGGGAUAACCCAUCGCUUUAUUCUUUCAGACGGGUCUCCCACGCUCUGCCGCUCCGCACGUUGGUGGCAUUGUCCCCGGCUCCGGGCUCCAAGGGGUCCACUUCCAGAUAAGAGUUACCGGCAGGGAGGGCGCGCAGCGGCUAUCAGUCCCUCCUCGCCGCCCCCCGCUCCGCUUCUCCCUGCGGGGCCGGGCCGUG
ensembl:lncRNA